rnacentral:rRNA from 1 species
CCUACGGGUGGCAGCAGUGGGGAAUAUUGGGCAAUGGGCGCAAGCCUGACCCAGCAACGCCGCGUGAAGGAAGAAGGCUUUCGGGUUGUAAACUUCUUUUAAGAGGGAAGAGCAGAAGACGGUACCUCUUGAAUAAGCCACGGCUAACUACGUGCCAGCAGCCGCGGUAAUACGUAGGUGGCAAGCGUUGUCCGGAUUUACUGGGUGUAAAGGGCGUGUAGCCGGGCUGACAAGUCGGAUGGGAAAUUCCGGGGCUCAACCCCGGACGUGCAUUUGAAAUUGUGGGUCUUGAGUAUCGGAGAGGCAGGCGGAAUUCCAAGUGUAGCGGUGAAAUGCGUAGAUAUUAGGAGGAACACCAGUGGCGAAGGCGGCCUGCUGGACGGCAACUGACGGUGAGGCGCGAAAGCGUGGGGAGCAAACAGGAUUAGAUACCCGGGUAGUC